rnacentral:rRNA from 1 species
CAAAAGCGUAUAUUAAAGUUGUUGCAGUUAAAAAGCUCGUAGUUGAACCUUGGGCUUGGCUGGCCGGUCCAUCUUUUUUGAUGCGUACUGGACCCAGCCGAGCCUUUCCUUCUGGCUAGCCUUUUGGCGAACCAGGACUUUUACUUUGAAAAAAUUAGAGUGUUCAAAGCAGGCCUUUGCUCGAAUAUAUUAGCAUGGAAUAGUAGAAUAGGACGUUAUGGUUCUAUUUUGUUGGUUUCUAGGACCAUCGUAAUGAUUAAUAGGGACGGUCGGGGGUAUCAGUAUUCAGUUGUCAGAGGUGAAAUUCUUGGAUUUACUGAAGACUAACUACUGCGAAAGCAUUUACCAAGGACGUUUUCAUUAA